rnacentral:rRNA from 1 species
GCCCGAGACCAACUCACGCAGAGUGCACCCGAUCUCGUCAGAUCUAGGAAGCUAAGCAGGUGUUGAGCUUGGACACGGCUUGGACGAGCAACCGCAAUGCCUAACAGGUUGCUAUAGGCU